rnacentral:rRNA from 1 species
UACAGAGGUCUCAAGCGUUGUUCGGAUUCAUUGGGCGUAAAGGGUGCGUAGGUGGCGGGGUAAGUCAGGUGUGAAAUUUCGGAGCUUAACUCCGAAACUGCAUUUGAUACUGCCUUGCUUGAGGACUGGAGAGGAGACUGGAAUUCACGGUGUAGCAGUGAAAUGCGUAGAUAUCGUAAGGAAGACCAGUGGCGAAGGCGGGUCUCUGGACAGUUCCUGA